UACGUAGGGUGCGAGCGUUAAUCGGAAUUACUGGGCGUAAAGCGUGCGCAGGCGGUUAUGUAAGACAGAGGUGAAAUCCCCGGGCUCAAACUGGGAACUGCCUUUGUGACUGCAUGACUAGAGUACGGCAGAGGGGGAUGGAAUUCCGCGUGUAGCAGUGAAAUGCGUAGAUAUGCGGAGGAACACCGAUGGCGAAGGCAAUCCCCUGGGCCUGUACUGACGCUCAUGCACGAAAGCGUGGGGAGCAAACAGG
rnacentral:rRNA from 1 species